rnacentral:rRNA from 1 species
AACGAACGCUGGCGGCAGGCUUAACACAUGCAAGUCGAGCGCCCCGCAAGGGGAGCGGCAGACGGGUGAGUAACGCGUGGGAAUCUACCCAUCUCUACGGAAUAACGCAUGGAAACGUGUGCUAAUACCGUAUACGUCCUUCGGGAGAAAGAUUUAUCGGAGAUGGAUGAGCCCGCGUUGGAUUAGCUAGUUGGUGGGGUAAAGGCCUACCAAGGCGACGAUCCAUAGCUGGUCUGAGAGGAUGAUCAGCCACACUGGGACUGAGACACGGCCCCCACUCCUACGGGAGGCCGGAGUGGGGAAUAUUGGACAACGGGCGCAAGCCUGAUCCAGCCAUGCCGCGUGAGUGAUGAAGGCCCUAGGGUUGUAAAGCUCUUUCACCGGUUAAGAUAAUUACGGUAACCGGAGAAGAAGCCCCGGCUAACUUCGUGCCAGCCGCCGCCGUAAGAC